GGUUGUGGCUCAGUGGUAGAUUACUUGUCUGGCAUGUGUGAGGCACUGGGUUCGAUCCUCAGCACCA
rnacentral:tRNA from 1 species